rnacentral:lncRNA from 1 species
CUAACCUCUACUCCAUACCAUUUACAAAUGAGAAUACCUCUCUAUUUAUAGAAAACUUAAACCUCCUUAACCUUCCACUUUACACCUCGUGCUUGGUUGUCGCCACCUCGUGCUUGGUUGUCGCCAACUCGUCCUUAGUUGUCUUCAAGUGGAUUAUCUUACAACUUGCAUUGCAAGUUGUCGCCAACUCGCUCUUAGCUUGCAUA